rnacentral:rRNA from 1 species
GGAAUAUUGCGCAAUGGGGGAAACCCUGACGCAGCAACGCCGCGUGAGUGAGGAAGGACUUCGGUCUGUAAAGCUCUGUUAAUGUGGAAAAAUGGCAUCUGGUCUAAUAGUCCGGAUGUUUGAUGGUACACAUAGAGGACACACCGGCUAACUUCGUGCCAGCAGCCGCGGUAAUACGAAGGGUGCAAGCGUUGUUCGGAUUUAUUGGGCGUAAAGCGCGCGUAGGCGGACCUGUAAGUCAGAUGUGAAAUCUCGGGGCUCAACCUCGAAACUGCGUCUGAAACUGCAGGUCUAGAAUCUCGGAGGGGGAAGGGGAAUUUCGCAUGUAGGGGUAAAAUCCGUAGAUAUGCGAAGGAACACCAGAGGCGAAGGCGCCUUCCUGGACGAGUAUUGACGCUGAGGCGCGAAAGCGUGGGGAUCAAAC